UACGUAGGGUGCAAGCGUUAAUCGGAAUUACUGGGCGUAAAGCGUGCGCAGGCGGUUUUGUAAGUCUGUCGUGAAAGCCCCGGGCUUAACCUGGGAAUUGCGAUGGAGACUGCAAGGCUUGAAUCUGGCAGAGGGGGGUAGAAUUCCACGUGUAGCAGUGAAAUGCGUAGAGAUGUGGAGGAACACCGAUGGCGGAGGCAGCCCCCUGGGUCAAGAUUGACGCUCAUGCACGAAAGCGUGGGGAGCAAACAGG
rnacentral:rRNA from 1 species